rnacentral:rRNA from 1 species
CGGUAAGGCCCUUCGGGGUACACGAGCGGCGAACGGGUGAGUAACACGUGGGUGAUCUGCCCUGUACUUCGGGAUAAGCCUGGGAAACUGGGUCUAAUACCGGAUAUGACCUUACAUCGCAUGGUGUUUGGUGGAAAGAUUUAUCGGUACAGGAUGGGCCCGCGGCCUAUCAGCUUGUUGGUGGGGUAAUGGCCUACCAAGGCGACGACGGGUAGCCGGCCUGAGAGGGCGACCGGCCACACUGGGACUGAGACACGGCCCAGACUCCUACGGGAGGCAGCAGUGGGGAAUAUUGCACAAUGGGCGAAAGCCUGAUGCAGCGACGCCGCGUGAGGGAUGACGGCCUUCGGGUUGUAAACCUCUUUCGACAGGGACGAAGCGCAAGUGACGGUACCUGUAGAAGAAGCACCGGCCAACUACGUGCCAGCAGCCGCGGUAAUACGUAGGGUGCGAGCGUUGUCCGGAAUUACUGGGCGUAAAGAGCUUGUAGGCGGUUUGUCGCGUCGUCCGUGAAAACUUGGGGCUCAACCCCAAGCUUG